rnacentral:rRNA from 1 species
UGGGGAAUAUUGCACAAUGGGCGAAAGCCUGAUGCAGCAACGCCGCGUGAGUGAUGAAGGUCUUCGGAUUGUAAAGCUCUGUCUUUUGGGACGAUAAUGACGGUACCAAAGGAGGAAGCCACGGCUAACUACGUGCCAGCAGCCGCGGUAAUACGUAGGUGGCGAGCGUUGUCCGGAUUUACUGGGCGUAAAGGGUGCGUAGGCGGAUGUUUAAGUGAGAUGUGAAAUACCCGGGCUUAACUUGGGUGCUGCAUUUCAAACUGGAUAUCUAGAGUGCAGGAGAGGAGAAUGGAAUUCCUAGUGUAGCGGUGAAAUGCGUAGAGAUUAGGAAGAACACCAGUGGCGAAGGCGAUUCUCUGGACUGUAACUGACGCUGAGGCACGAAAGCGUGGGUAGCAACAGGAUUAGAUACCCUGGUAGUCCACGCC